rnacentral:rRNA from 1 species
AGUGAACGCUGGCGGCGUGCUUAACACAUGCAAGUCGAACGAGAACGGAUUAUAGCUUGCUAUAAUUGUCAGCUAAGUGGCGCACGGGUGAGUAAUGUAUAGGUAAUAUGCCUCUUACUAAGGGAUAACAAUUGGAAACGAUUGCUAAUACCUUAUAUUCCUUUUUAUCAAAAGAUAAAAAGGGAAAGAUUUAUUGGUAAGAGAUUAGCCUGUAUUGUAUCAGUUAGUUGGUGGGGUAAUGGCCUACCAAGACGAUGACGCAUAACUGGUUUGAGAGGAUAAUCAGUCACACUGGAACUGAGACACGGUCCAGACUCCUACGGGAGGCAGCAGUGGGGAAUAUUGCACAAUGGACGAAAGUCUGAUGCAGCAACGCCGCGUGGAGGAUGACACAUUUCGGUGCGUAAACUCCUUUUAUAUAAGAAGAUAAUGACGGUAUUAUAUGAAUAAGCACCGGCUAACUCCGUGCCAGCAGCCGCCGUAA